rnacentral:rRNA from 1 species
GUCUAUGGCCAUGCCACCCCGAACAAGCCCGAUCCCGUCUGAUCUCAGAAGCUAAGCAGGGCCGGGCCUGGUUAGUACUUGGAUGGGAGACCACCUAGGAAGACCAGGUGCUGUAAGUG